ACCCAGAUCUCCCAAUUGGGUAAAGCACCCAACCGGCAAUUGGGAGAUCUGGGUUCAAGUCCCGGUCUGGGCU
rnacentral:tRNA from 1 species